GGGUAUUUAGCUCAGCGGCAUAAGCACCUGCCUUGCAAGCAGGCAGUUGUGAGUUCAAUCCCCAGUACCGA
rnacentral:tRNA from 1 species